rnacentral:misc_RNA from 1 species
AUAUACCCAUUUCAAGAACCCAAAAAAACAAAAAAAAGACCAGCCCCGCAUUUGCUCCUUGCCUCUCUUUAUCAUGGACAAUUGCCCCUAUGUCUCUAGUCUCUAUCCUGCACUACCAACUUCUCACCCGGCUUCCAUAUGCCAGCCUCUCGUUAACUGAGACAACCAUUGGUCAUCUUCUUUCCCAUGGCUCUCUUUGUCACAUGAAUGGACUCUUGACCACCUCUUGAAUUUGCCUCUAACUUGUUGCCUCUCACCACUGCCUCCUUUGUCUCUCUCUAUGUCUCUGGUAUCUGCCACUCUCAGCCUCAUCUUAAUUCUCUAAGACAAUUAGUCUCUAAACUUUAUUCUUAAAAUUUUCUUCUCAAUUUGUCCUUUAUGCAAACUGCUCUUUCGCAUUUGCUUGUGUUUCAGUGUUUUGAGAAGUAAUUUGCUUGUUUAUUGCUGUUUUGUGUUGUAAUUUUCUUGUGAUUUACUAAUUGUUUUUCUAAUCUGGGUAGUUGUUCGGUAUACAUAGUUUUUUUUCAAUGUUCAAGGAUGAGAAUAUGAGCUUUGAAUAUCAAACAAAGGAUUAUUAUUAUUACAUUGGUGAAGACCAGCAAUGUUCUUGCCAUUUGUUAAUUGUUUUAAUGCUGAGAAACUGAUAAACUGGAUCGAAUAGGUUUGAUUUCCUCUCCUACUAAUUUGAUCAUUUUGGUUUUGGUGGUCGUGAGACCAAACUUAACCAAAUUGACUGGUGCACAUCCCUAGUAGUUAAGCAAGCACUUAAGAGACUACCUUGGCCCAGAGUGAGAUAGAACUUAUAUCACAUCUCCAUAUUUAUCAAUAUAUUGGUGCCCCCUUCUUAACAUAGAGUUGGAAGGCUAUCUAUGUAACUGAAGAAAGGUUGUAAAACUGCUUUUUCCAUUUUGUGAGGAAAUGCUUUCAGCCGCCGGCCCCCGCCGCCGCCCCCCCUCUGUCCAAACUGGGUUUCUUGUCUUCCAAAUUUGGUUUCUUCUUGGAAUAAUUGAGCUUUAUUUAAUGAUAUAAUCUUCCAAUAACCUUCAAUGUGAGAAGUUGCUAUGUUUUAAGAUGAGGUAAUUAGUAACAUGAUUUGCCUCGUCUUUCAACUUGGUAAAGAUCCUUGAGGUAGCAUAAGUGAAACCUCAUGUUCAUUAGUUGCAUUCCAAAAUUCCAAAAUUUUCAUGCUAGUGCAUCUUUCCAUGGGUAUUUGUCAUUUGAAUUCUUAAGAUAUUUUGAAAAACAUGUAUGGUGAUGAAAUCAAUUAGAAAUCAAGGAGAAACAAAUUUAGUAUGAAUGCGUUAUCAAAGUUUUUAUAUUAUUAUUAAUAAAUGAAAUUAUAUAUAUAUAUAUAACAAAAUUAUUAUUUAUAAUUUA